GCCUUCGUGAUGUAGUGGUCAGCACGCUGGGCGCGUAUUCCAGAGGUCCUGGUUCGAAUCUCGGCGAAUGCG
rnacentral:tRNA from 1 species